AAGUAGAGUGAUCGAAAGAUGAAAAGCACUUUGAAAAGAGGGUUAAACAGCACGUGAAAUUGUUAAAAGGGAAGCGCUUGUGACCAGACUUGCGUCCGGUGAAUCACCCAGCUCUCGCGGCUGGGGCACUUCGCCGGCUCAGGCCAGCAUCAGCUCGCUGUCGGGGACAAAAGCUUCAGGAACGUAGCUCUCUUCGGGGAGUGUUAUAGCCUGUUGCAUAAUACCCUUCGGCGGGCUGAGGUACGCGCUCCGCAAG
rnacentral:rRNA from 1 species